UGAUGAGAAGCUUCGUCUGGAUUUAGCUCCGUGAUUUAUUUCAAUUACUGAUGAAAAAAGACUUCUCGAGCAGGAGCUUCACGUCAGACCUCCACCAACCACAUGUUUGUUCUCUAACAGAAACUCUGUGAACCACACAGUCUUUCUGGUGGAUCAAGUUCAGCAGAAGACGAUUCAAAAGCUGCAAAAACAUUUAGGUAAGUAUUUAUUAAGAGACAGAGGAGAAAAGUCUAACACUGAAUUAUAUCUGGUGAGCUGCUUUUAAAAUGAUUUUAGUUGCUGUUAUGGC